rnacentral:rRNA from 1 species
GACGAACGCUGGCGGCGUGCUUAACACAUGCAAGUCGAACGGAAAGGCCCUGCUUUUGUGGGGUGCUCGAGUGGCGAACGGGUGAGUAACACGUGAGUAACCUGCCCUUGACUUUGGGAUAACUUCAGGAAACUGGGGCUAAUACCGGAUAGGAGCUCCUGCUGCAUGGUGGGGGUUGGAAAGUUUCGGCGGUUGGGGAUGGACUCGCGGCUUAUCAGCUUGUUGGUGGGGUAGUGGCUUACCAAGGCUUUGACGGGUAGCCGGCCUGAGAGGGUGACCGGCCACAUUGGGACUGAGAUACGGCCCAGACUCCUACGGGAGGCAGCAGUGGGGAAUAUUGCACAAUGGGCGGAAGCCUGAUGCAGCAACGCCGCGUGCGGGAUGACGGCCUUCGGGUUGUAAACCGCCUUCGCCUGUGACGAAGCGUGAGUGACGGUAAUGGGUAAAGAAGCACCGGCUAGCUACGUG